rnacentral:tRNA from 1 species
GAAUGUAUAGCUCAGUGGUUGAGCAUGUGCUUGGUGUGCAUGAGGUCCUGGAUUCAAUCCCCAGUACCUCUG